CUUUAAAACAUCUAUAACUGAACUCUGCUAUAAUCAAAACUUGGAACUCGUACUGUAUGCUAUUUACACCGGAAACAUAUCUAAUGUAACCGCAAUCUACAUUAUCCCUUUCAGUUUUUGUUUUUUUUUUUUUGGUGUCUGAAAAAUUCUUAAACAUUCUAUAUCGUUAGACCAUAUAAUUUAUAUACCUACGUAUAUGUGUAUGUAUAUCGGUGGUUUAAAACUCAAACACAUCAGGUGUAAAGGAUAAACUAAUUUAUCCAGAAAUUGGGUUUGGUCAGUACUAUAUACAGAACUAUACCUGUGACAUAAGAGCACACUGUCAAUGUUCGACCCAAAUUUAUCAUCUAAGGCAUAGAUAACAUAUAACGCGAUCAAUGUUCAUGUAGAUAACAUACACUGUGAAUUCCGAAAACAUAUAUGCCUUUUCUAAUUGUUGAAAAAUUAUUCAAAUGUUCUGAUAAUAUUUUUGGGCUUUUUAUAGGAAUUUACAUUUAGUUUUUUAAGUAGUUUUUCUAUGGUAGAUACUCUGUGGAUAAAAAUGUUAAGCCAAACAGAAAUGCUUGAAAAUUUAAUAGGAG